GAACAGGGCUCCGGACGGUGCCGCCGCGGACCCCUCCGCAGGUCGUGUUGACCCUGACUUGGGAAACACCGCAGGUCUCCUCCCUGCGGCGGCCACGGGGACCCCGCAGGUUGGCGGGGGGCACGCACGUCCCGUCCGCCAAUCCCGCUGGGGGGUCGGAAGCGCCUAACGGAUGUUGGGAGACAGGGACCUGCCUCCGCCACACAGUGACGGUCAAGAGAACCCCAACUGAACUCCUGGCGGGGCCGAUCGUCAGAGGCUUCUCCAGAAUCUGGCCUCCGUGCGCGGGGACACUGAGUGCUCUGGGACGGGCAACGCGAUGCCUAAUGGCCGUGCUUGAAGCUGGGUGCUCCCGCGGACCUUUGCCCGUGUGCGACCCAGGUCCCCCAGGUGAGGUGCGCAAACAGUGGUGCGUUGUGUGGUGGCUGUUGCGCGAGGUCGAUCAGAAGGCCGCACGGUGGUGUUUCGCAUAAUAAAAAUGAGUGAAUAGUUUUCAUUAAGUCACUAGAACAAUAUAACCAAAUUCUAAAAUUCACAAUAGUGAAAAUCGCCUUUGUUCCCACUGUGAUCACUUUGCAGUCAAUUUUUAAAACGUUGAAUACAGUUUCUUUGUCCACACUAUUUGAAGAUCAUGAAAGACGUGUUCCACGAUUCAGAAUUUUCUAAAUCCUUCCUGGGAGCCGCUGAUCCUCUCCCUCCAAACAGGCCCACGCCUUAUAGCAACCAACCCAGGAAGCCAAAUCCCACCCUCUACAGCAAUACGCCCCAAGAUCAGUGCCUCACACCUUCCUCCUUUCCAGCCUUUCCCUUUACAGUGGAAAUGUAAUGCCAAAUCUGUUCCCCCAAGAAAUCACGUGGGAACACGUCUCUGUCAACCUGCCUCCAGCUCAUCACAAUUUCAAGCCUGGAAAGCCUGCCUGUUGUUUCACCAGAAAUCGUCCCCACUCCCACGCGUGCCCAGUGUUUCAGCCUCAGUCCAGGGCAUUGCGUCUUGCUAUCCUGCAGAUCCUCAACUCGCCCCACCACCCCGGAGCUACCAUCAAGCUCAAUGGACAGAAGCUCAGCCCUGCUGCCUCUCAAAACCCCACACGCCUGCCACCCUGA
rnacentral:lncRNA from 1 species